rnacentral:lncRNA from 1 species
UCAUAGUAUAAGACAACAUAAUGAAUAAUCAAAAUAAAAGACGAGUCUUGACUGCUCCGUCUUCUCUAAACCUUGCAUCGGUACAUAUCUAUUUGUGACCUGAGAAUACAAGUUAUUUUGAAAGCGAGUAUCAGCUUUAAAGCUGGUGAAUUCAUAAGUAUUUAAUGUCGUUAUCUAUAUAAGUAUUAAUGAAAAGUCUUAUAAGUAAAAGUGUAAACGUUUGAAUUUCCUAAAAAAUCCCAUAUUUCCUACUAGUAUAAAAAGGUAGCCUUCUACCGAAACUAGACUGUUUUGAAAGUAGUCUUCUACCAAGACUUAAUUGAAAGAAAGUAAGCAAGUAAGUAGUCUUCUCAUGAGACCCGCUGUAAGUAAGUAGUCUUCUCACGAGACCCGCUGUAAGUAAGUAGUCUUCUCAUGAGACCCGCUAUAAGUAAGUAAUAAUAUGAUUGGUAGUCCCUAUUCUAUGUUUGGAACUAAAGGUGACUUCCGCAACAAAUCGCUAGGUCGAAAUUCAUAUUUAUUACCAAGUCAUAUAAGCCCAAACUAUACCUAUAAUAGAUUACUAGGGAUAUAUGAACGUAUACCUUUGUUACCCAAAGGUACUGAACUAACUGAUUAGAACUAAUAUGUCCGUAUAUGUACACAUGAUAUAUAACUAAAUAUCUAAACGACUUUCGGACGGAUACCAGAUACCCACCAGACCACAUCCCAACGAGGAAAAGGAAAUAAAGUGGGUUAGCCUUCCUAAGUCCUUUAAACAUUACUUAUAUAACAAUACAUAUACAGGCAUGCUUUUAACAAGGUAUCUAUGUAAAAGUAUCCAUGUAAGUGUAUCCAUGUAAGUGUAUCCAAGUAAGUGUAUCCAUGUAAGUGUAUCCAAGUAAGUUUAUUCAUGUAAGUGUAUCUCUUCAUAUAACAUUUAGUAUAGACUCAUGAAUGAACUGAAUCUGGUGUAUUCCUUGUACUUGGAAUGGUAAGUAAUAUCUCAUAACUAUACCUAUAAUAGUUACUAGUAAGGUACAAGUAUAACGAAGGUAUACCUUUGCUAGCCAAAGGUACUGAACUGACUGAGGGUACUUUUAUGUCUAUAUAUGUAUACAUGAUAUAUAACUAAUAGUUGAACGACCUUCGGACGGAUAACCGAUACCCUAAAGCCACAUCCCAACGAGGAAAAGGAAAUAAGGCGAGCUAGCCUUCCUAAGUCCUUCAAACAUUACUUAUAUAACUAUACAUAUAUAGGCAUGCUUUUAACAAUUUAAAAGUAUAAAAGAAGUUUUGUAAAACAUUUAAGGGUUUUGAACAAUAAAUAAAUAAUAAUGACUUGAUGUUAUUUUAUAAAGCAUUUCGAAAGAAAUUCUUUUGAUAACAAAGUAUAACAGAGUUUGAAAGGAAACUUACAGAACAUAAUAUAGUUUAAUAAAGAGUUUUAAACAAGUAAAAAUGUAUUAGAAACCUAUCUGAAGUAAUCUGUUUGAUAAAACAGCUAAAAGUGUAGUAAAUCCAUUGGUAUGCUGGUUAUUAAUCACAUGUGAUUGAUAUAAUAACUAGCAUGACUUAACAUGUAUUCCCCCAUAAAAGCAUUUAAAAAUAUUUAAAACAUUGAUUAAGGGGUAUGAACUCACCUGCAGUGAGCGGAUCGGAAGGAAGUAUCGGACAAGUGCUUGGUGUCAAGUGAAGACUUAGACACACACAAUGAUCUUAAUAACAUAUGAAGACAUAUGUAUAUAUAUAAUUAGUGAUUAUAACACUAGAUAAACAUGUAUAAACAUCCUAUUGCGAGGAUAACACUUUGGUCAAGUGCUAGGAGGCCAUCGGGUUGCAACAAAGGAGGGCAACGCCUCAUACGGGAGUUUAUGGUCCAAUGACCAUGUUUGUUGGAGUUUACGGCCCAUGGGAGUUUACUCCUGGCUGUAAACUCUCAAUUGGUCACCAAAAGGGGCUUAAAACUCUAAGGGCUUAAGUGAUUAAGUGUUCCAAAGCUUUACACAAGAGUUUCGGUGGGUUUAAGGUCCAAAAAUGACCUUGUUUGUUGUUUACGGCCCUGGGACCACUUCCCCAUGAGUUUACGACCAUAAACUCAUGUUAAGAAGUACCAUUUCUUGAAUUGUGGUCCUUAGGUCAAUGGUGUAAGGUUCUAUGUCAGUAACCAAGGCUUACUAAGGUGUUAGGUGUUAUUUGCACUCAUAAAAAAGGUGUACGGCCCAAGAACAUGUCUUGGCCGUAAACUCCUUGAAACCCAUGAUUUCUUAUGUUUUCUAAGCUCUAAAUAUGUUAAACCUAGUAUACAAUGAGUUGGAUCAAGAGUACUUACAAUCUAGGAGCUUGAAUGGUCGGUUUUGGCCAAGAACACUAGUGUGUGUUCUUGGUGUUUCUUGAAGAUCUAAGAAAACGUGAUUUUCGUGGAUGAAAUCAUGAGAGAAUGCUAGAUUAAGUGGUGUAUAAACUAAUAAAGGAUGAAUACUUACUAGUUUUGAAGAUCUAGGGUGAUUUUUGUUAUGAUAGUUGAGAGAGAAUGAAAGAAAAUCCGACCAAGAACUGAAGAAAUGAGAAGAAAUGACCCAAUGCCCUAUAUAUACUCUUGAGUUUACGGCCACAUGAGUUUACGGCCGUAAACUCAUGUUCUUGUGGUCGUGAACUCAUUUAGAUGGGGUUAGGAUUCGUUUUGCUACACUGUGGUUCUAGAGGGUACUUUCUAACACUUAUUCCUUAAGUGUAUUAGGCUCAAAACUCCUUAGAAUGACUUGUAACUAGGCUAGAACUCUGUACUAAUGAUUUUGACACUCAGUUGAGUUGACUGACUGAGCUUUAAAUAAUAAAAAUUUCUAGGUUGUCACAGAAAGUGUUUACAAUGUGUGUGUUCACAAAACAUAGAAUUCAUACACAAAUAACAAAACAAGAGUUGAAGCUGUAAUACUUCAUCUUCUAAAUCCCCAACACGAGCACCUGUCUAAUAGCCUCCUGAGAAUACAAGUUAUUUGAAAGAGUUGAUCAACAAUUAAGCUGGUGAGUUCAUAAGAUUUUAGUGAUGUGAGUAAGCUGUAAAGUGUUGUUGAAAAUGUAUAUAUAAAAGUGGUGUAAGCUGUAAAAUGUUGUUGAAAAUGUAUAUGUAAAAGUGGUGUAAGCUGUAAGUUCUAUUUUGAAAAGUUCGUCUGUUCCUCUAGAAAAUCAUAUAUUUCCUACUUGAAUGAAAGUUAAGUAAAAUGACACUACAAGCCUUUCUAUGGGUACUAAGUGAGUACAAGUUGUAUAAAACUCAGAGUAAACAAACAAUCGAUUGUGCGCAUCUGCCCUAAGCUCACAACCCAACGGGGAACAGAAAGUAAGGCGGAUAGCACACAUCCCAUUGGUUGUUAGAUCAUUGUCAUAUAUAACCCUGGUGUAUUCACUUGUUACUCAUGGAGUUAAUUGUAAUGGUUCCUUUAUAUCUAAUGAAAAGUUCUUUAAGAAAACCUAUAUUUCUUAUUGUAAAAUAGUGACUAGAGUGACUACUUUAUAAUAGCAUAGUUUAUACUGAUAUAUAUAAUCUGAUAUCGGAUAGAAAGUUAAUUGAGUGAAUCUGCCCUAAGUCUACAACCCAACGAGGAAUAGGAAGUAAGGCGGAAAACACACAUUUAACUACCUAUUGGGUAUUAGUUUUAUAUAUAAACAUGGUGUAUAAACUAAGGUAUUAUAGAGUUAUUCACCUAAAGUCUUUAAAAUUGUACCGGCUUAAUAAAAUGGAUUAAACCCUUUUCUGGGAAAUUUCUANUUCUAGUUUUUAUACCAAAAGUACUGACUUUGGAAAAUAUGUUUUGUACUAGAAAAACUGUUCUUUGACUAUGUGUCCUAUAACCUGACCCAUACCUGGUACCCUUAUGAUGACUUAAUGUAUACUAAGCAUACAUGUAUAUAGAAUCGGGUAGAUAAUAGAUUGGGUAAAUCCGUUCCAAGCCCACAACCCAACGAGGAACAGGAAAUGAAGCGGAGAGCACACAUCCUAUUAGCUGUCGAAACCUAUUGGUAUAUAUGUAUCCUGUGGUGUAUACAUUAAGGAAUCAUAAGACUAGCAUUAUCGUCCUAACUUUUAAUCGUAGCCUUCUACCAAGACCCGACUGUUUUGAAAGUAGCCUUCUACCAAGACCCGACUGUAAGACUAUUAUUAUUGAAAUCUAAUUUACCUCAUAGAUUAUGUGAAUAUGACACAUAGUAAAUGUAUUAAUAAUAUAUUAAUUGGAAUUUUAUAUCCUUUUGUAAUUGUCGUAUAUACAGUGUAAGUACUGUAGUAUUUGUAAUAAGUGACUACUUUUUUUGUACUAUUUUUCCUUAAUUGAGGGUUAAGGCAUAAUGUGAUGGCUAGAUCCCAUGCUAAACGCUCCUUUAUCAAGAGAUUUUGGAACCAAACGCGACCCCUGCAAUGAUUUCAAGCCGCGAACAUCCACAUUACUAUGAUCAUGUAUACCCAAUAUAACUAUCACAAUGCAUUAGUGAUUCAUUGGUAUAGUUAGAUCCUGAAAUUCUUCCAUGCUAUAGCACCUUGUUAUGUCUGUUCUGUUAUCAUGUGUUGUAAUCGUAUUUAUGUAAGUGUAUUUAUGUAAGCAUAUCUAUGUAAACGUAUUCAUGUAAGCGUAUCUAUGUAACCGUAUUCAUGUAAGCGUAUUGUAUUAGUAUAGACUCAUGAAUGAACUGACUCUUUGUGUGCUUCAUUGUAAUAGAAGUAAUGAAUAGCAUUCUCCUAAACUACACCUAUUAUAGUUUACUAAUGUUCUACUUGGACUGUUAUUGAAAAGACUCAUUUAUCUACUAAGUUAUGCUUGUGCCUUAGAAACAGAGUUUUGUAUAACUAUAAAGUAACAUGACUUUAAAAGAGUUUUUGAAAUGUUUUGACAACUUAUAAAUAACAUAAGUAACAUUUUGAAAGAUGUUUGUAACAAACCAUUUACACGAUUAUCAUUGUGUUCAACUUGUAUUCCUCCCUAAAAGAGAUAANCCUUAAAAGAGUUAAAACAUUUAAAAGGUUCAUUACGGGGUAUGAACUCACUUGAUGUGGGUGAUUCAAGCGGGUACACGUGUAAGGAUGAGAAGUUCCACGAAUGAAGUCCCGAGACACAGUAAGUCCUAAAUGACAUAUAAUGACACAUAUUGGCAUGAAUAUAGUGUUUACAACAACUAUAUGAAAGGAAACACCUUCCGAGACUAGGAAACACCUUGACCAAGUGUUGCAAUCACAAGUGAUUCAACAAGGGAAGGUAGAAUGGCCCUCACAUGAGUUUACUACCAUGGGUUUACGGCCUAAGGGAGUUUACGGCCGUAAACUCAUGGUCACUCAUGUAUAAUGGCAAGUUUGAAGGCUAGGGAAGUUUUAGGGACUUUAGCUCUACACUAAGAUGAGGAAGACCACUUUCUUUGAAGCCUUUGGUGAGUUUACAGCCCUAAUGAGUUUACAGCCGUAAAAUCAUGACCAUUUUUAUUUAUGAGAGUUGUUUAAGGUCCUAAGCUUAUCCAUGAAGGGUCCUGGUUCACUAACUUUGCAUCUAGGAGGGUUAAUGGCCAAAAUGGCAACCUUUAAGGGGUUUACGGCCUUGGGAGAUGGCUUGGUCGUAAACUCCAUUUCAUCUUGUGUUCUUGAUGUUUUUAAGUGUCUAAACAUGAGUCCUAACUAAAUAUGGAGUAUAGGGAAGAGCACUUACGAUCUAGAAGCUUGAAAUGGUUGAUAUUGGCCAAGAACACUAGUGUGUGUUCUUGGUAAAACUUGAAGAUCUAAACAAACAUGAUUUUCAUGGAUGAAAUCAAUGUAAGAAGCUAGUUAAUAAGAUGUAUCAACUAAUCUAGGAAGAAUACUUACAUCUUUUGAAGAUCUAGGAAGAAGGUUGGAUGAUAGUUGAGAGAAAAUGAAGAAAAUCGGCCAAGGAAAGGAAAGAAUGAGAAAAAUGGUCAAGGACCAUAUAUAUACUCUUGAGUUUAUGGCCACAUGAGUUUACGGCCGUAAACUCAUGGUCUUGUGGCCGUGAACUCAUUUAGAUGAGGUUUAGGUUCGAUUAGUUACACUGUGGGUCUAGCAGGUGCUUUCUACCACUUAUUCCUUAAGUGUAUUAGGCUCAAAACUCCUUAGAAUGACCUUUAACCGGGAUAGAACUCAGUACUAAUGAGUUUGACACUCAUUUGAGUUGAUUGACUGGUCUUUUAAAAGUAAAAAUUUUUUGGGUUGUCACAAUUACCUUGUAACUUCGAAAAAUCAUAACUUCCUCUCACGAAGUCAGAUUUGAACGUUCUCUAUUUGCAUACUCUCGGUUUAAUGACUACUAAGACUUUUGUUUAGAUAUCUUAGGCUAAAAAUAAUUUAUCAAAAAUUCAGUUUUUACAAUAUGUAGAGUCGUAUUGGUUUUAAUCGCGAAACUUCGAAGAAGCAUAACUUCUUCAUAUGAAUUCAAAUUUCUGCGUUCUUUAUAUGUUUGGAUUCCUGAUCACAUAUAUAGUAACUUUAGUUCAAAUUAUUUAUCUUAAAUAACCUCCUAUCAAAAAGUUAUUUUUAACGCUUAAUAUCUCUUAAUUGACUAGCUCGAAUUUGCGGGUGUUACAAUUAUAUCCCCCUUUAGGAUGAUUACAUCCCAAAACCAUCAGCAAAUAGGGUUGGGUUUUUGACACUGUACCACAUCAAUGUUUCGUCAAUUUGCACAUUUAGUCACAUAAGUUUUUUUUGUGCUCAAUUGAUCCUUAAUGUUAGUAACUACCGGCUAAUUACCCCCUUAUGCACCCGGUAAACGGAACAACCGGUGAUAUUGCUUAUGUGGAAUAAGUUUACAUAAUAUAAUUCAUUUAUUUUAUCCAUGUAGGAUUUAGAGGUCAAAAUAAACACAUUUAUUUAGCUAGAACACUCCUUCUUUAUUCUUUCUUUUUCUCAUCUUACAGUGAAUACGAAGCACUAAACCUAGGGUUCGAAGUUGUUUUCUCCGAUCGAAGUCAGUGAGCAGUCAACCAACCCACAAUGUCUAGCUCAACGCCAAACCCUGAUGGACUCCACCAUAUAGUGGAGCUGAACUUCAAAGGUCUUUUUCUUUUAAAUCCUUUCUCAUAUAACCAUGGUAUCAACUUCACUUUCAAUGAUCAUGAUUUUUCUGGAAUGACAUACGGUGUAUGUAUCACCUUUCUUGAACGGUUCAUGAAAGAAAGUAUAAAGAAGUUAUACUAUUGUGAACAAGGUAAGCCCUUAAUAUUUGGGAUAACUGCUAUCGCUAAUGAUGAAGACUAUGGUGGCUUCAUUUUUCAAGCAUAUGGGACAGAUGGUAAAAUUUGUAUGUAUGUGGACUAUGAUGGUCAAGGAAUAUUAGAUUUGUUUGGUUCUGAAAUAGAAGAGGAGGAUGGAGAUGAUCCUUUCAUUUAUGGUGGUGAGAAUGAGGAAGAAAUUGAUAACCUAAUAGAUGUGGAUGUGGACUUUAAUGAGGACAUAGUCACUAUGAAUAGGACAAAGGGUGAUGAAUUUCUAACUAGAUUAUGUGGCGAAGAGGAAGAGGGAAAUGAUAACAACAUAAAUGAUCAUGAUGGGCAUGAAGAGGAUGCCAAUGUAACUCAACAACAUUCAAUUUUUAAUGAGUUAGUUCCACGGAAAAAGCAGAUCCCAAUACCUGGUAUGAGGUUCAAAGAUCCAUCUCAAUUAAAAUCGAUGUUAUGCAACUAUGUUGUUGCGAAUGGGUACCAACUUUGCUUUGAGAAAACUGAUAGGAAAAGAUAUUUGGUUAAGUGUUGCAAGGGUGAGGGCUCAUUCAGGUUGUGGGCAUCUUGGAUGAGUGAUGAAUCAAGCAUCCAAACUAAGUCUUUAAAGCUUGUCCACAAAUGUGCAAGGAACUACAAGUUAGGGUCCAUGGUCACUUAUGCUUGGAUAGGGAGUCAAUAUACAAGAGAGUUCUUACUUAGACAAAAGAUGAGUAUUAGAAAUCUAAGAAAAGUUGUGUCACAUAUGUUUAGCAUUCAUGUUAGUGUUGGUGAAUGCAGGAGAGCUAAGAAAUAUGCACUCCAACUAACAGAGGGUACCCUAGUUGAACAUUAUGCAAAGUUAUGGUCGUAUGCAGAAGAGAUUAGGAGAUCAAAUACAGGUAGCACUGUGAAGCUUGAUGUGCCAUAUGGGAAGAACUACUUUAGUAAGUUCUAUGUUUGCUUUGAUGCAUUGAAUAAGGGGUGGAAGGAGGGAUGCAGGAAGAUAAUAGGUUUAGAUGGUUGUUUCCUUAAAGGGAUCUGUAAAGGGGAGUUAUUAUGUUCUGUUGGAAGGGAUGAAAACAAUAGGAUUUAUCCUAUUACAUGGGCAGUAGUAUGUGUGGAGAAUAAGGAAAAUUAGAGGUGGUUUUUGAAUUUACUCAUUGACGACUUAGGACUUAAUUUGGGUUAUGGAUACAGUGUAAUAUCUAAUCAACACAAGGUACUUUAAUUGUUUGUAAUUAAUUUUCCUAUCUAUUUGCAUCCGUAUUCACUAUAUUUAGAAUUUGUUAACAGGGUUUGAUUGAGGUUGUGAAAGAACUCCUUCCAUAUGUAGAGCAUAGGCAGUGUGCCAAGCAUAUUAGCCAAAACCUAAGGAAAAGGUACAGUGGUGCCCAAUAUGAAAGCAUAUUCUAGAAGACAUGUAAAGUAACAACAGAGGUAGAUUUUAAGGUUGCCAUGAAAGAGCUUGAAGUGCUAGACCCAAGUGCUCAUCAGUAUCUGAUGGAAAAAGACCCCAAAACAUGGUCAAGGGCCUACUUCCAACCAGGAAGGUGUUGUGAUGUUGUGGAGAAUGGAAUGUCAGAAAGUUUUAAUGCUGUGAUUGUUGAUGCUAGGAAGAAACCAAUUAUCACCAUGCUAGAGGAGUUGAGGAUGUAUAUGAUGGAGAGGGUGUUCAAGAAGAAAUGCAAGGGUCUAGGAUGGGGCAACCAAAUUUGUCCAACAGUUAGAGAAAUAGUGAAUGGCAUUAAGAAGGAUCUAAGACAUUACCAAGUCUUACCUAGUGGACUAAAUCAGUUUGAAGUAAGAGGAACUACAGAUGCUUAUGAAAUGGAUCUUGGAGAAAGAACUUGCUCAUGUAGGCUUUGGCAGCUUAAUGGAAUCGGUUGUGUCAAUUCUGUUGCAGCUAUUAGUUUUAUGAAUAGGGAUGUAGAGGCAUAUGUGGACAAAAUGUUUAGUAGCAUCACUUACAUGAAGGCAUACAAGUUUAGGUUAGCACCUAUGAAUGGAAGUAAUUUGUGGCCUGCAACUGAUUACACCCCACCUUUACUUCCUGUUCGUAGAACUAUGCUUGGGAGAUCUGGAACUAAAAGGAAAAGGGAUGCAACAGAAACCCCAAACCAGUCAACUAAAAAAUCAAAGACAACUACCCAAACACAAAACAAAGGUAAGGAGCAGGUGAAGGUAUCCAAGGCUGGUAAAAAACAAAAAUGUAGUCUUUGUAAGAUUGAAGGACACAACAAAAGAGCUUGUACUUUAACAAGGCCUCCUAAAACCAAAGUUAAAAGAAAAACAAAACAGGUACAUAAGUAUUUAAAUGGUUAAUCUUUACAAUUUCUUUUUAAAUUUCUAAUAAUGUUUCAUAUUGGUCAAUCAGGGUGUAGCUGAAGCGAUUAAUGAGGAUGAUGAAGGUAAUCAAUCUAAUGCAGUCAAUGAUGGAGGAGCAGUAAAUAAUGGUGGAGAAGCAGUCAAUGAGGUGCAUGUUCAACAAGACUAUGAUGAGGUGGAACUCACUCCUUUGGAGUUUGAUUCAUCAGCUAAUGGAGAACCUAGUCAGGUUCAUGUGUAAGAACAGGAGGCUAGAGAAACACCACUUGCAACCCCGUUGAAGAAAAUCAGGAGGAAGAAAUCUGAAAGGAUUAUCAAGUUGAAACUGGGCAAGAAAGUUGGUGGUGGAGAUGCACCUGGGAAUUCAGAAGCUAAACCUGUUACUCUAGAUUAACUUUAAGUGUUGAUUUAUGUGAUAUGAACAUGGUAUGUAGUGUGAAAUGAUGUGUUUUGGUGUAUUGUUGCUGUUUUUAUGAAACUGCUAUUAACUAUGCUAGUUUGUAUGAAAGUAUGUUGGUUUAUGUGAUGUGUAUUUUGUGUUACUUAAGUUGAUUGUUAUUUUCAGCUUUUUGUUGUGUUAAUUUGAAGUUGCAUGCAUGGCAAGGACUUUUCUGGUUAAACUGCAUGGCAAGGGAAUAUAUUUGCAUAUAUAGAUAAUUUAAAAUUAUGAUUGAUUAUGUCCUUAUAUACCACGUGUGGUUAGUGGUCCAUAUACCCUUACUAACCCUUACUUUUCCAUAUAUACCACUGCACAUAACUCUAAAGACAAUCCACUUUUAAAUGGACCAAGUGAGUUCCUUACGGCCAACAAUGUGGUACCCACACUUUAAUUUUUAAAAGGACCACAUGCAUACUAUAAAAUUCAGCAAUGUAUAUCAUAACUAGGAUCUUUCAUAUCAUUCAUUGAAUCAACACAAAGUCAUUACAAUUGCUCCCAUGUACUGCCAUCCUAUUACAUCUAUAUUCCAUUACAUCUAACAUCCCAUACACACACACACACACAAAUCAAACAAGCAUUCAACCAAAAACCUGACUAUACAUUACAACUAGGAUCUAAACUUGACCAUGUACCCAUACACCCAUACACUUCCCAAAAAAGCUAAUAACUUUUAACAUCCACCCAUACACUUUCCAAAAAAUUGGUUGGAAUUAUAUACCAUUAACCAUAAACACCUAUUUGAUCUGCUGCACAAUUCAAGUCCAUUUCAACAACAUGGCAAUGACUACAAUUACUAUAACAAAGAUCCGACACUUCAAUAUUAUGUUUUGCUUCGUCAACUCCAUCAAAUGUGUCUCAAACACUUGCUUAUCAACUUCCAUAUCUUGCUGCAACUUAAGCAACUUCUUUUGAACCUUCGAAACCUCACUAAACUCUUCUUUUGUUUUCAGUUCAAACCUUAUCUUGCGAAGCUGUUCUUUGUAGUAACCCUCCUCCAUUUCUUUGUCUUUCCACAUAAAGAACUUGCAUUUUGGACCUUCAGCUGACUGAUUAAAAGGGAAAACCGGAGUUAGGGUUAGGGUUGCAAUUAAUGAAAAUGUGUACAUUUCCAGCUCAAAAUAACAAAUACGGUGUAAGUAAACAAAAUGAAUACUCACCAAAGAGUUUUUGUAGUUCCAAAACAUGCGAGCUACAUUAUCGUCAGUCCAGACAGUCCUUUCCACGCUUAUUGCGUCUUGACAAUCGCAAGGUGGACAGGGGUCAUCAUCACGAAGGUUUCCGACACACAGGAGCUUGAUUGAUCGACUAGAAGAGGCAGACAUUGUUCUAGUUAUAUCGAUUGAGUGUAGAGUUUCGGAAGGGAGGCACUGACCUAAUUUGGGGUAACAAUGUAUCCUCGAUGGUUCAAUAUAAGGUUCAAUUAAGGAAGGUUUCCACGUUAUAGAUGACAUGGUCAAAUGCUUGUCCACAUAAGCCAAUACACAUCAGCGAUGACCCUUAAGCCGAUAAUAUUUUCUCACAUUCCUUUAAAUAGCCGGUAGUUACUAACAUUAAGGAUCAAUUGAGCACAAAAAAAACUUUAGUGACUAAAUGUGCAAAUUGACCAAACAUUGAUGUGCUACAGUGUCAAAAACCCAAUAGGGUUUGUAUAGUGACUCCGCACAUUAUCUUUUCAUCCUAGGUAAUAACCAUAAUUAUUAUGUCAUUUCAAAUGAGUAUCUAACUCUAGGACUGUUUGACUGUGAGCAGUGCUAAAUCAUGCACCCGCUCUUUAUACUAUGUUGGACUUUUAUUUGUAACCUUUGAGUUACAAAAUCGAUCCUUAUUGGAGACUCAAGCUCCUUCUUAAAUAGACUUAACCCUAGAUAAGGUCUUUACAUUAACUAUCGUAACAGACCGAUGGGUAGUGUAUCUAAUGACCUUUCGUCGUAUGAUGCAAUGGAUAGACUCAUGCCUUUUUUAGUCAGACUCCAAUGUAGAUGACACCAUCCUUCCUGUUCUAAUGUGAUAUAAUCACAUUAUAACGGGUAGCAAUUAUAGUUAUAGGUUGUGUAGCCUUAACGACUAUUACGAUACUUCUGUCAAUCGCUUUAAUGAUCAUUACCUUUAACCUCCUGACUUGAGUCGGAUACUAUAUCGAAUAUGAUUAUCUAAACUAAUUAAAUUAUUUUGCAAAAUUAUUAUCUAGUUGGACUCGAUAUGAUAUGACCAUUAGGGUCGAAAUAACAGUCAUCUUCCUAGUCAUUACCGAAACGAUGGGAACGCCGGAAACAAACGAAACAAACUCAACUACUAAUGCCUUAGUAACCUUGUGACUUUCCAUGAUCCAAUUGCGAGUCUUGUGCUUCCAGUAGUAUAUGCCUCUACUAUAUUUCACACUUACUCAUACUCUUCCCAAGUAUUGUCUUGUAGUUCACCAAGUCACCACAUAAGAAAACCAUAUAGCAAUUCAACACAUCAGGUAUGUAACAUAACCAUGGGUUAUAUUACUUCUUGAAAACAAUUACGAGGUUCCUUUAUACUAUAUCCCUAUUACAUAAGGCCAUAUAACCUAAUACUACUCAUUUAUUUCCUACCCUCAAGUACUCCAACACAAGCAGCUCCAAAUUCAUGUCCUCUUGCUUCCUCAUCAAAUAUCAUGUGGUAUGCUCUGGCCUUUAGCUUUGGCGACACAUUUGUCUUUGUAGUCCCUUCCUUCAUUGGGAAGUCCUUCUUAAAAUGUCCUUUUUCAUCACACUUAAAGCGGGUUUCUUUCUUGGCCGGGCAUUCAUUGGCAUAGUGACCCGUCUUCCGACAUUUGAAAUAGGUCACCUCUUCAGAGCAUUUCAUAAAGUGGUUCCUUUUGGUUCAUUGUCACCUCCAAACCUCUUGUUGUUGAGGUAGGACUUCGAGAACUUAUUCUUCUUUUCGGAUCUUGAAGAUCCUUCAAGCUUCCUUUUAUCUCCCGUCUCAGCUCUUUCCAAACCAUUCUCCUUUAUUUGGGUCUCCAUACUCCUAGCUACCUAGAUGGUUGCUUUCAAUGUGGUUGCUAGCUUCAUUGUUGGUCUAUAAUCUACUGGUAGUCCUAAGCGAACUUAUUUACUUUUGAAAGUUCGGUAGGAACCAAGUGUGGUACUAGUUUCAUAUUCACUGUAAAAUUAACUUGCAGCAUACUCGCUGACGCUCACCUUUCCCUUCUUUAUGUUCUGGAAUUCAUUGUUAAUUUCCAGAAGAUCCUGAUCAGAGCAAUAUUCUCUCUUCAAUUGCAUAAUGAAUUCUUCCCAGGACAUCUUAUUGGCUUCUCUUUUGGGCAUGGUAUCAGUUAACAACUACCACCAGCUUAAUACCCCAAUAUUUAGCUGUCGGAAUGCAAGGACAGUCCUUUGUCUGUUGUUGCAAUCAGAACUCUCAAAUACCAUCUCCAACUCUGAGAUCCAGUCCAUAAUUUCUAUCGGUGUCAGGCUACCAUAAAGACUUGGCGACUUGGAUGCCAUGAAGUCCUUGUACUUGCAUCCACGUCCGUUGUUUCCUCAAUCUAGUUGGUUUCUUCUAACCAUUCUUCACUCGACAUGGAUAACAAUAUGGUUGUAGAUUCAUUCCUCUGGCUGUUCCUCAUCUAGCUCACGUUGCACGACGGGUGUAGUAGGUUCUCUUCCAUUUUCUGGAAUAAGUUGUCUCAUCUCCUCCCUCUGUUCGUCUAACAGAGCCCUAAUCAUUUCCAUCGUGACGAGUUCAGCUAGCGGCACAACUUUAGGUGCAUGCUCGAUUACACGGGGCUCAGGCUGCUGAUUCUCAAUACCAUUUCCUAAUACGCUUCGAGUACUCACCAUGAUGUUCUAUAAAUCAAAGCAGGCGUUUCGUGUACAAUGACAAGAAAAUUAAGAUAGGGAAGGUUUAGACAAUAAUUCUCCUUACCACUCCAAAAAUUUACAUGCCAGUUCUAAUACUAUAAUUAAACGUUUAGAAAUCUGAACACAUAAAAUUUCCUAAUUCUAGGUCGGCAACAGACCUUAGAUCUAAUCGGGUAACAAUAAUUUUAGAUAGGCAACCUAAGGCAUGUUAUUAUUUAAAACAUUUAGCACAUAAAAUUAAGUAAAUUAGGCAUCUUAUCCUAAAAUAAGUUAGUGCUUGUGUCAAUUCUGGUGUACUACCUAAAAUAUCGUAGGCACACACAUCUCAUAGCAUUUCUUAGCAUUCUUAGUUUAAGUCUAGAAAUCCUCUAAAAUUCCUAGUUCUCUUAAAGUAAUGCCCUGAUAACAACUGUCACAUUCCCAUUUUUUACAGUCAUUUUAAAACUUUUUAGUUAUGCUUAUUUAAUAUAGAGUUUAUUGAUUAAUGUGGAAUUUUGGCCCCGCAAAAGUAUUUCCAAAGAAAUGUUUCCAUUGAUUUAUUAAGGUUGGUGAUGCCAUAACUGGUACAAUAACAUAAUAUAAAUGGAGACAUAGAAAGUCUCAACAUACUAAUGACAUGUAUCUCCUCAAAUCUCUCAACAAAUACAUAAAUCAUUAUCCACUUAUCUUUAUUUAAUUACCUGCGAUUCAAAUAAAUUGAGUGGGUUAGGUUGGGGAAACCUGGUGAGUAUAUAGGGAUUUCAAUCCUACAAUGUUAUAAUAUAUAUACCUUAAAACUCGCAAUAUACAAAUUCACCUUAUAUAAGCAAUCUACCUAAUCUCAUUGAUCCUCACAUUUUAAUCUUAUAUAAUGACAUACUCCAUAAUCUUGGAUUCAUAAAUGAAAUGGCUUCACCUAAUCCAUACUCUCGAAUCAGGAAUAAAUGACUAUAUCUAAUCUGUACUCUCAGAUUAGGUACGAACGACUAUGUCUAAUCCAUACCCUCGGGUCAGUGACAAAUGACUAUACCCAAUCCAUACUCUUGGACCAUAGGUGAAAGACUAUGUCUAAUCCAUACUCUCGGACCAGGAGUGUUAGAAUUCAACUCUCCAUUCAUGUCUUGUUUGUACUCUUAAGAAGAUGAUAUCCAUUAUCCAUUUUAAUUAAAUUUAAACCUAUUUUGCAAGUCUUUAUAUUAUCUCUUGGUAAGACUAUAAUGCUCAAUUCUUAGUACUUACUCUGCUUAGGCAACAAUAUCCUACUUUAGUGUAUACAAAGUAUUAGGUAUUAUUAUAACUUUAUCCUUCUCUCUAAUGAUACUUCCAUUAAUAUUGUUAUUAUUAUGAAAUAAUUGAUAUAUGUCUUCACGCAUACCAUACUCGGUUCGCAUAUCAUAUAUUAUCAAAUAGGUUCUUAGCACAUAUUACAAGCAAUAAACAUUUACCUUACAUAUAAACUCUUUAAUAGAUAUUUAAUACUUUAAUUAACACUUGUAUUACAAUCAUGUUCAUAAAGGGAACUAUGUACUCACUUGAUAAAAGUGGAUGCCUCAGAACAUGUGUAGACCUCGGCCUUGCUAUUUUAUCUUUUCCUCUGAUGUGACCCAUAUAUGAAUGUCACCAAGUCUUAUUCUUAUAUUCCUAGAACGUAAUGAUAGUGUAGAUUCCUCACUAAUCCUAAUGUCUACAUCAAGAUCUAUCAAGUAAGAAACAACUAGCUAGGAUCAUAUCGGACGUAGGUUCUGUUUGGUAUAAAAAGUAUACUAUUUGGAAAUCUCACUUUAAAGACCUCAUGAAAUCUAACCUAGACAUCAUCCUCUUAAGUAGAUAAAUCAGUAAAAUGACUUGGAACUAUUGAUAAUCUUAAUUAUAGGUUCAUAAUAAUGACUAUGAUUGUAAUUAAAAGUUACACGUGCAUAAAAUAGGUGUAGCUUAACUUAUAGAGUAUUCUGAUGAAAACCAGGGAUUAUGCGGGUAGAACUCUCAUAUGGGAGCUUCUAUUCACCGGCCAUCUGACACCACAGUGCUUUGCUAAAGUGGUCAAAAAACAUUGUAGUUAAGGGCUAAAUGUUGGAAAGAGAUCCGUAGAGAAUUAUGUGAAAGGUGAGUGAGAAAAAGAGCCAAUUUCGCAGGAUUAUAUAGGCUGAAUCAGGAGGCACACUGCACACACACUAGGUGCGUGCCAUGCAUCUGAUCAGAAGGUGAUGACGUGUCAUUUUCCUGCAUGGUGCCAUGUGUUGCGAUUCGGGUGGUUAACAGGGAGUGUCGCGCUCUCUGUUUGGAUGCGUGCCUUCGCACGAGGAUUUCUAUUUUCUUAGAAAAUUCAUAUCUUUUCCGUACGAGCUCCAUUUUGAUGAGUUUAUAUCCACCCCGAUCUAUCGACGAUAUCUACAACUUUCAUUUAGAUUCCAUCGGCUAAUUUGACUUUAUUUUUAAAGUUAUAUUUUUAACAGGCUUAGACUGUUAAAAUCCGUUAGAAAUUCAUAACUCUCUCACCCGACGUCCGUUCUCGAACGUCUUUAUAUCGUUGGACUCCUAUUAAUGAGAUCAUCGACUCUCAUUUAGAUUGUUUCUCCUAAUAAUCGAAUGAUCUUAAUUUAAGUUUCUGAGUAGUAUACUGCUAUGCUGAAACUUUGAAAAAUCAUAACUUCGUCUCACGAAGUCAGAUUUGGACGUUCUUUAUAUGCACGCUCUCGGUUCAACAACUACUGCUACUUUCAUUUAGUUCACUUAGGCUAAAUAUUAAUUUAUCAAAAAUUCACUUUUUACGAUACAUAAAGCAAUGUUAAUUUUAAUCGUGAAACUUCGAAGAAGCAUAACUUCUUCAUACGAAGUCUGAUUUCAAUGUUCUUUAUAUGUAUGGAAUCAUUGUCACAUACACUAUAACUUUGGUUAAGAUUAUUUAUCUUAAAUAACCUUCUAUCACAAAGUCAUUUUUAACGCUUAAUAUCUCUUAAUUUACUAGCCUGAAUCUACGUUGUUACAGUAGUAGCAGGAUCUGUACUCGAAUCAAGGAUGGUCUCGGAGAUUCUAAGGAGCUUGUAGAGUGAGAGUUUCCUUCGAGUUUAUUCUAACUGUUUGUAUGUGUGCAUUUCAGUAUGGUGACUACUCGAGGAGGAGGUUCUGGAUCCAUUACUAGAAAAAUACCCUUUAAUGACACGUAUUAUGUGUCAUAAAAGGUACCAAUGACACGAAUUUGAAGCCCUUGUGAUAAAGAAAGAUGACACGCAUUUGCGUGUCGUACCUUUACAACGCGUAUUUACGACAGACAAUGUAUAUCAUUAAAGCCCAUGUCAUAACACAAAGACGAUACACAUUUUUUUGUGUCAUAAUUUUAAAUGUUAUAUAUAUAUGUGUGUAUAUAUAUAUACACACACACNNNNNNNNNNNNNNNNNNNNNNNNNNNNNNNNNNNNNNNNNNNNNNNNNNNNNNNNNNNNNNNNNUCUUUAUAUAUAUAUAUAUAUAUACACACACACAAACACAAAAAAAAAAAAGUCUUAUUUUCUUUGCUCUCCGUUUCAAAUGAGAAGGAAUAUGAGCUUGACAUGUCAUCAGAAGCCACAUCACUUAUGGACCAUUUACAUGGUCUGCACAUCAACAAAGACCAUAGUCAUAUAAGCUUUCUUGGAGCCCACUAAACUGGAAGCUUUUAUUUGGAUUUUAUUUAUUUAUUUAUUUUAUUUGCCUAUAGAGACACGCACACGUUUCUCUUCUUCACCGCCUUUGCGAGCCAAUGGCUUCACUCCGCGAAGCCUAGACACCUGCUACUGUCAGAGUGUAGUGACAUAAAGAACAUGGUUUGGCAUGUGGAAUUAAAGUUUGCACAAUGAACAUAGUGAUUUGGGUGUUCAAGAUAUGUAUAGAAUAUGUAUGGUUUUACAAAAAGAUAUCUAGAUCUAGUCUACAUAAUUAACACACACUUACAUACUCACUUUUACAUCCCUCAAGCACACCUCUACAAGUGGUAUGAACCCACUAUAUAUAGAGGUGUUUACAUGUAUCUCUCUCACUCUUAAAUACUCAUUAGUCAUAAGGCUAAUGCACCACAUGCAAGUGGGUCUACAAGAGUCAAACCAUCUACAAAGUCAUACAUGAAGAACUUUGCACCCCAACACAAAGACAUCUGUUCUCCACCGUUUCCACCCCCAAUGCCCUUUCACAUACCACCUUCUCCACUCUUUCUUCCAUAAUACAUCCAACUCUCAUCCAUCGAUCUCCUACUUCCAUCAACUUCCUAACCCUCAUCACCUCUGCUACACCGCAUCAUCGCGACAACACCACCGAUGACUACUCUCUCUCUCUCUCUCUCUCCAUGCAAUUUACGGUUCUUCAACCGCCACAAUCUCUAGGGUUAUGUUUAUUAAAGUGCUUCGAUUCUUUAAAUUCUAAAUAUUAUUUUAUUUUGUUUAAUACUAUAUUGUAGGUGGUAUUGGUGGGGAUAUGCAUUCAACAGAGCGAUUAAGAGCAAGGUCAUCGAACUCCGUUUCCAUCGUUUCUUUUCUUCUAAUCAAAGUCUACUCUUGCUUUUUCAAAUACCCAUUUGGUCAAUUAAGGUAAACGAAAUACAUAAUUUAUGCAAGCAUAAUCUCUAAUUGAGGGGUUUAUGGUAUCAAAGCUUUUAUUAUGUAGACCGUUGUUUUGAUUUAUAUGAUGAUGUUUUAUUUGUUCAAGAAGAAACCUCUGUUAAAUAUGAUUUGCUUGUUAUAGUUUUUUGUGUAAUGUUUUGGGUUUAUCAGGAAAUGACUACCUCUGUCUCUAAAAAAACCAUUGUUGCUCCCUCUCUUUAAUCCCAUUAAUCUACUCUCUCUCUCUCUCUCUCUCUCUCACACACACACACACAUAUUCUCACGCGCAUACACACACAUACUAUAUUCUCACUCCUCUGAUAUUGCACCUCUGGGAAGAAAGGUAGAGAUAAUAUGAUAGGAUGUAGAGGCGAUUCAAAGGUAUUUGAAGAAUUAAAGAAACCCUAAUAUCAACUUUCAUGUUUCUAUCGAUUAACUUUCUAAAGUGAGUUAAUUAUAAUCAUGCAUGAUUCUUUUUUGUAGGGUUUUUUUUAAUUACAAUCAUGUUGAUUCUUGUGUGUCUUUAGAUUUUAUAGUUAAUUAUUGAUAUUGAUUUCCAAUCAACUCCACAAAGCAAGCGUCUAAUUUAAGGUAAAUUUUCAGAAAACCUGGUUUUUAUUAUAGUAUUUUGGGUUUUUUUUUGUGGGUUUUGAGAGAAAUUUAAUAACAAUUUAGGGAUAUCUUUUAUUAUUGUGUUUUUGUUCGAGAAUGGAUCAUUGGUAUGGAAUUAGUUCACAUCAUUUAUGGUUUUUUUGGAAGCCAAAUGGGGUUUCACAAAUUCACACCAUGAAUUUGGAAACCUUGUUGUCUUUGGCUUUAAUUUGAGUGAAUUUUGUGCAGAUAUAUGUGAAGUAUUCAUCUUUUUAGGGUUUGCGUGUUUAUUGUAUUGCAAUGAUUGAUAUGUACUAUUAGGUUCUUGUUAAAUGCUAUAGUAUCACCAUAGUUUGAAAAAAGAAUAAUUUUCAUUUCCUUUUCUUAAGCAACUACAAAUUUGGAGAUUUUACUGGGGAGUUGAAAUCGUUAUUAAGUCGCACAUUAUUUAUUAUAAACUUUGUUGUGGAUCACUAAAUAAUUUUAAUUGGUCAUUAUUUGGUACCCUUUAUAAUAAUUGAAUUUACAAUAAUUAGAUGGUUGUAAAUGGUAAUUAGUGGCUUCUGGAUAUCUGAUUUUCCCAUUUGUAUCCUUUUUCUAUCUGUAAUGAUCUUGUUGGGACUAACUGAGAGAUAUAAAACAGAAAAUAUGAUUUUGUUUUUGUAGCCACACAACUAACAAAAGUGAAAUGACGAAACUUUGUUGCUUUUUGAUCUGCCUGGAGCACACACACACACACACACACACACACAUAUAUAUAUAUAUAUAUAUAUAUAUAUANGAAAGAAAAUUCAAACAUUAGUUGUAAUCUUUUGGAGUUAAAAUGGUAGACAAUCCAUCUAUACAUUCUACACUUAUGACCAUACAAUGAGAUGUCAUUAUAAGAUAUGAGGCUUAGGUUUAAAAUUACAUCACUUACUUCUUCAAUGCGAGGGUUGUAUUGUCUUAUUGCAGAUAAGAGCUACCAUUUCUUCAAGAUUAAAUCAUUGGAGAAGAGGAUCAAUGAGAUUAUUGAUAAAUUUUAUAAAAGAUUCAGAGAGUGUUGGGGUGGAAAGUAUCCUCAAGUAUGAAGAAACCAAUCUUGUUGCUGGCUUGCUGCCAAGGAAUUGACUGAUGAGAAAGACAUAGCUUGCAUAAUCAGCAGUCCAAACUCAAAUACCAAUAUGUUUAUGAAUUUGAAACUUGUUUCAAAAUAAAAGAGAAAGAAUUAAACUAAUCUCUGAUAUUUUUAUGGUCAAUUUCUGAUUUUCAGGCUGGAGUAUGAGAAUUGAGAACAAGAGGUACAUAGGAGCAUGUAUUGCUAAGUUGGAGUCAUCCCAUAAUGAACUAAACAAUGUUUUUCUCGAGGUUGAUGAGAGAGUGAAACAAGUUAUAUCGAGUAUAGAGAAAACCAUAGAGGAGAUUGUGACAUUGAAGGAAAAAACUACAUGGCAUGUAAUAAUGCAUGUUCCUGUAAAUGUAUAUAAUAGUUGAUAAAACUUUGUGAGGAUUAUCUAUCUUUCAUUUGUAGAGUGGAAGUCCCAAUCAGACGUGUAUGAGAAGGAGAUGAAAGAAUGGCAAAUAAAGAUCUCUGCUACUACGACCAAUAUAACAAACCAUAAAAGAAGGAUAAAUGCUAAAAAGACUGUAAUCACAUUAAACUCGAAGAUACAAGAUAUUCUUAACAAGUACGAAUUAAACCAAAUUACCCUUCCAACUGUGGUUUCCAAAUCUCGACAAGGUCAUACCCCAUAGCAAGAUGAUAAAUCAAUAUACUUUAAAUUGUUUCUAGCAAACACAUUCUACUUUUGUUUCUUUGUAUUCACAUAUGUACUUUCGGUUCUUUUCUUUUUAUGGCGUUAUACUUGAGACAUAUCUACAUAUUAUAGAAAUCUCCUUUAAAUUAUUUUUUUAAUUAUAGUGAUAACUUUUGACAAUAGCAUUUUUUUAACAUAUCAUAAACCCUUCAUGGGCCGUGCUGAGCACGGACCUUAAACAUCACUAGUAUNNNNNNNNNNNNNNNNNNNNNNNNNNNNNNNNNNNNNNNNNNNNNNNNNNNNNNNNNNNNNNNNNNNNNNNNNNNNNNNNNNNNNNNNNNNNNNNNNNNNNNNNNNNNNNNNNNNNNNNNNNNNNNNNNNNNNNNNNNNNNNNNNNNNNNNNNNNNNNNNNNNNNNNNNNNNNNNNNNNNNNNNNNNUAUUUGAGAAUAAUGUAUUUACAUUUUAUUAAAAAUUUAACUAAGGUUAUUAUCAAUAACAUUCCCUAUUUAUAUUUAUUUUGAACAUAAAGAUGGACAUUGUUAAUGACAUAUUUUUUUUAUUUAUUUUAUAAGUUCUUAUAUUGAUUUCACUUAUUGUUUUAAAAUAAAUACGGUAGAAAAUGAAAAUUUACAAAGACAAUGAUAUAAUUCGUAAAUUAAAUCUCAAAUAUAAAGAAAGAAGUGGCCUUAUAAUUUUGGUAGGGCCAUUCACCCUAUCAAAGUAGGAUUAUAUGAAUCACUUCUUCACCAUGUCUUGGAUGGUGUUUGUGUUUUUUUAGAAAAAAUGUUUGUAAUAUGUGGAUCAAAUCUACAGACAUCUAUAGUAGAAGAUAUAGAUCAACAAGUCUACAAUCUAAAAGAAAGAGAUUGUUUAUUUUUUAAACUCUGCAGGCUACUAGAAUAAACUAAAAUUUAAUUAAAUUGAUUUUUUUAAAUAAACUUAAAAUAGUUUUUUCAAUAAUUUUCUGACUUUAUUAUAGAUAAUUAAUAAAUAUAAAUCAACUUUUAUGUAUUAUUUUAUAAAGAAUGAAAAUAAAAUGAUAUGAAUUAAUGUAUAUAUUCGGUAAAAACUAACAAAAUUUGGUCGCAAAGUUAUACAUAAACAUUAUAAUUAGGGAUAAAAAAAUUUAACACAUAAAAUGGAUUGAAAUAAACUUUGAUUUUAAGUGAAAAUUUUUAAAAUAUUCGUUUAUUUUUUCAAUUAAACUCAUUAAAAACUGGUCAUAAUUUUUUUUCUUCUGAGAAAUGAUUGAUACUACAUUAAAUAAUGUUUUAUAAAAUUUGGUGCAAAAAAUAUAAGUCUAUAUUAUGAUUUUUAUUUUAUAUCUAUAUAAACAACUCCAAUGAUAAUUAUUGUAAUUAAAACUUUAUUUAUAAAUUUGUCACAAAGGUCAUGAUUGUGUCGUUGAACUUUUUUUUUUUAAUUAUUGUGACUUUUCUUUUUGACGAAACUGCAAGAUUGGUCCAUGUGGUAUUCAAAUUUUUUUGGAUAGGGUGCAAAAAGUUUUCAACUUGCACCGAAUGUCCAAAAUCAAGGUUUUUCUGGGUUUUUGGUCAUUGAUACACUUGAAGAGUCGAUUUUACCCUUUUCAUUUUUUUUCUAUUUUCUUUAUUUAUUUUGGUAUUUAAAUAAUUAAAAAUAAAAUAUCUCCCAGAAAAUCCUUGAUUUUGGAUAUUCGGUGCAAGUUGGAAACUUUUUGAACCUUAUCCAAAGUUUUUUGAAUACCAUAGAGACCAAUCUUGCAGUUUUGUCUUUUUUUUCCAACUUGUUUAUCAUAGAUAAAGUUGGAAUAAGUUUAAGUUUUAAAAAAACAAAAAUAUAUGUGUUUUUUUAAGCUAGAAGAUGUUUGNNNNNNNNNNNNNNNNNNNNNNNNNNNNNNNNNNNNNNNNNNNNUAUAUAUAUAUAUAUAUAUUUUAUGUCUAAAGUCUUAAAAAAACAAAUUGUAAAGCCUAAUAUAUGUGCAUGGUUUGCGCGACGCAGACAUAAAAGGCCAAGAAGAUCUACAACACCUUCUAUCCUCGUGUUACCAACUCAACGUGACUCAAUACCUUUAUUGAAAUCUUUUAUUCUUUUCCAUUUAAGUCUGUUGAAAAUGACCGAUAUCCGAUAAAAACUGAUUGUCCCGUUUUAAAUUCAGGAAAAUUGGGUUGUUUUAGUCAAGUUUCGACGUGUUUUGAAAUUCAUAUAGUCGGUAACCCAAUAUUUAAUCAGCUCAGGUAUAGAUAGACGUCAAAAAAAUUCGGAUAUACCGAAUACCCCAUUUAAAGAAAAAACUCCUAACAAGUGAUUAUAUAAUUCUAUUUGUUAUUGCUUUAUACAAAAAUAUAUGUUUACGUAUAGCUCUUCCUUACAUUAAAACCAGCGAGAAACUUCUUUAAUCUCUAUAUCCGAUUAUUUUGUAUAUGUAGUAGAAAGAUACCAAAUAUGAUCAACCUUUUUAGUCCUGAAAAUAGUAUAAAGUUGAUGUUUCCUGUCUAGGAAGAAAGAUGUCAAAAAGUAAUCAAACAUAGUUAUUUCCAGCUCAAACAGCCAAACCAUACUUAUUUUUGUGAAUUGAAAAUAUAAUUACACAAUUGGUCCAUACAGUUUUGGUAACAUGCUUAUUUUUUUUACUUGACUUUUUAGCAAAUUUUUUCGUGUAAUACCCGAUAUACAUGAACCCGACCUAAUAUCCGAUUUAUCAUGCCGAAAUAUCCGAAAUUAAUACAGUUUUGUUAUCGAUUAUCUUUUUAUAUGAAAAAACUAUAACUAUACCAUUCGAACUUCAAGCUGUUCACCAUAAUUAACAAUCCAAACCAAACUAACUCUUUAUUAUAAAUAUAAUUUAUAAUUAUCUUUUAUUCUACUAAAAAUUAUUACAAAGACGAAAGUUCCAAGUUACGAAAAACUAAAAGUUUUGAUAGCAUUAGAAGUUUGAAUAAUUAUAAUGAUUAAACAUGUUUUUUUCUAAAUAUCACCCAAAUAACCAUCAAGGCAACACAAGCGAAUAUCAAUAAACCUUUGCGAAGGUUUAAUGACGCAAAUAUUUUAAAGAAUACAAUGGAAAAACUGAAAACAAUUACAAGAACAACUUGAAUAUGUAAGUAUUUUAUUUUUUAGACGCCGUAAUGAAUAUAUUAUAUCUUGUUUUCUUGUUAGCAAGAUGUAGUGUCACAUGCUUGCUAAACUUGUCGAGUAAGAUGUAAAUUUCCGAAAUGAGAUUGUAAAAUCCAAAUUUUCACAGUAACUUUUUCAAAUUUUAAAUAAGAUAAAAAGCCAUUUUCGUAAGACCAUUUGAUCCAUAAGUUAUAAUCCCUAAAAUCAGAGUAUCAUUGUACCGCCAGUGAAAAUACGAGUCUUUAUUCCUAUUUUGUGAAAAAUUGGUGGUCAAGAUAUGGUGGAAGGUCUACCAUGGCGUGGCCUGAGGAAAUGUGCAGUUCAAUUGGUCACCACGAUGUGGCUGCGGAUGAGUCCCAAAAUUCCGGGCCUUGAGCCCUAUUUAAAGGAAAUGAUCGCUAGAGUUUCCCCCACCCUCAACCUCCAUCACCUCCAAAAAACUCUUGAUCAAUCCUAGCCUCCCUUUGAAGUUCUUGACCCAUUUUUGGUGAUUUUGUGAUCAUUGGAAGGAAGAAUAAGAGCUCUAGUGCAUAGUUUAAGAAAGAAACUCAUCUCUACUCUUUGUGUGCAUCUUUUGGAUUCCUUAUAAGUCCUCAAGUUUCAAUCUUUUUAGUCCCUAUCUUGUAGAUCUAAGAUGUGUUGCGUGGUUUGGUUCCUAGUUGUGUUUUGAAUGGUUUGACGAGAUAAAGUUUGCAACGUUAUGGCUCAUUAAGGUCCUUGAGCAUAAUAUCUUUUGGAUCUAAAAGUUUGACGAGUCUUGGUAGCCAGUGNNNNNNNNNNNNNNNNNNNNNNUUUUUAAAUCGAAAAAAAAAUGUUUUCAAUAAAUAAACGCCAAAAACACCUAGAAAAAGAAUUACAGCUAAGCCCGGCGUUUACUCUCUUCACUUUCAUUAUGAGUUUCUUCAUCAUUAACCUUUCAUUUGUAAAAAUAAUCUAAGGCUCUCAUCUUUACUAUGAUUAUGUCUAUAAAAAAAAUAAGGAACAAUUGAUUUAACGAUAUGAAAAAACAAUAACAAAUAACAAAACUCUACAAUUACAGAAUAACUCAUUUAACAGUAUCUAAAAAUUGAAAAUUAAAAUCAAAAGUGAAAACAAUACAUAAUCUAAAAUCUAUAACAAAUUACAAUUUACAAACUAACAAUCAACAUUGAAUUGAUUCCGAAAUCACAAAAAGUCAACAAGUGAGCAAACACAGGAGCAUAUUCGGUAGUCCUAAUUCCAUACAUACACUCCUAAUUUCUAAUCUCAAUUCCCAAAUCAGAAAUCGCAACCGGAGAACCAGAGAAGAAAGAAGUCAAGAACGACCCUUAAAUAUACUCUUAAUUCCUAAUCCCGGAUUCCCAAAUCAGAAAUCACAAGAGGAGAAUUGGAGAAGAAAGAACGAAUACCUGAUUUUCGGUGAGUGCUGGCUGUUACGGUGGAUCAGUGAAUGGCGAUUAGCGAGACCGGAGAGUCGGACACCGCGAAUCGCGAUACAGCAAGCAUCCUGACUCCAAUGAGGCGCGAGCGACGAUGGUCGAUGGGGACGGUCGGACCUCAGACGGAACUCAGGAACUAGGUCAAUUCACUUCUUGUCGCUUCAAUUUUUUAUUUAGAAAUUGGAUUGUGGAGAAAUCGGGAAGGGCCACAGCCCAAUUGUGAAAUUAACAAGCGUAUAAUAAAAAUUUUGGAGCAAUUUUUGCUAGUUCUAACCCAAAUGACAGGGGGCCACAGCCCCUCUUGGCCCUACUAAUACUCUGUCCCUGUUGGUAGUCAUGCAUGAGUUUUUGGUAUUUUUCCACAUUUUGACCUCAUUGGAGUAAAGGG